CCGUCCUACGGGGGGCAGCAGUGAGGAAUAUUGGUCAAUGGUCGGGAGACUGAACCAGCCAAGCCGCGUGAGGGAUGAAGGUACAGAGUAUCGUAAACCUCUUUUGUCAGGGAACAAAGGCGGGGACGCGUCCCCGGAUGAGUGUACCUGAAGAAAAAGCAUCGGCUAACUCCGUGCCAGCAGCCGCGGUAAUACGGAGGAUGCGCGCGUUAUCCGGAUUUAUUGGGUUUAAAGGGUGCGCAGGCGGUCUGUUAAGGCAGCGGUCAAAGCCCGGGGGUCAACCCCGGGCCCCCGCUGAAACUUGG
rnacentral:rRNA from 1 species